CACGCCGUAAACGAUGUGUGCUCGCUGUGCGAUCCUUAACGGGUUGCGUGGCCAAGCUAACGCGCUAAGCACACCGCCUGGGGAGUACGGCCGCAAGGCUAAAACUCAAAGGAAUUGACGGGGGCCCGCACAAGCAGCGGAGCGUGUGGUUUAAUUCGAUGCAACGCGAAGAACCUUACCUAGGUUUGACAUGCACGUAGUAGGGAGCCGAAAGGUGACCGACCUUCGGGAGCGUGCACAGGUGC
rnacentral:rRNA from 1 species